rnacentral:rRNA from 1 species
UACGUAGGGGGCGAGCGUUGUCCGGAUUUAUUGGGCGUAAAGAGCUCGUAGGCGGCUUUGUCAGUCGGGUGUGAAACCUCCAGGCUCAACCUGGAGCCGCCACCCGAUACUGCAAUAGCUAGAGUCCGGUAGGGGAGCAUGGAACUCCUGGUGUAGCGGUGAAAUGCGCAGAUAUCAGGAAGAACACCAGUGGCGAAGGCGGUGCUCUGGGCCGGAACUGACGCUGAGGAGCGAAAGCGUGGGGAGCAAACAGG